CGCGUAGGCGGUUUUGUAAGUCGGAUGUGAAAUCCCCGGGCUUAACCUGGGAACUGCAUUCGAUACUGCAUAACUAGAGUAUGGUAGAGGGAAGUGGAAUUUCCGGUGUAGCGGUGAAAUGCGUAGAUAUCGGAAGGAACACCAGUGGCGAAGGCGACUUCCUGGGCCAAUACUGACGCUGAGGUGCGAAAGCGUGGGGAGCAAACA
rnacentral:rRNA from 1 species